UGGGGAAUUUUGCACAAUGGGGGAAACCCUGAUGCAGCGACGCCGCGUGAUUUAGAAGGCCUUCGGGUUGUAAAAAUCUUUUGUAUGGGAAGAAAAUGACAGUACCAUACGAAUAAGGACCGGCUAAUUACGUGCCAGCAGCCGCGGUAAUACGUAAGGUCCGAGCGUUGUCCGGAAUCAUUGGGCGUAAAGGGUACGUAGGCGGAUAAGCAAGUUAGAAGUGAAAUCCUAUAGCUCAACUAUAGUAAGCUUUUAAAACUGCUCAUCUUGAGGUAUGGAAGGGAAAGUGGAAUUCCUAGUGUAGCGGUGAAAUGCGCAGAUAUUAGGAGGAAUACCGGUGGCGAAGGCGACUUUCUGGCCAUAUACUGACGCUGGGGUACGAAAGCGUGGGUAGCAAACAGG
rnacentral:rRNA from 1 species